CGGGGUGUGGCGCAGCUUGGCUAGCGCGUUUGACUGGGGGUCAAAAGGUCGCAGGUUCAAAUCCUGUCACCCCGA
rnacentral:tRNA from 3 species